rnacentral:rRNA from 1 species
UACAGAGGUCCCAAGCGUUGUUCGGAUUCAUUGGGCGUAAAGGGUGCGUGAGGCGGCGCGGUAAGUCGGGUGUGAAAGUCUCGGGGCUUAACUCCGAAACUGCAUUACGAUACUGCCGUGCUUGAGGACUGGAGAGGAGACUGGAAUUUACGGUGUAGCGGUGGAAAAUGCGUAGAUAUCGAUAAGGAAGACCAGUGGCGAAAGGCUGGGGUCUCGUGGACAAGUUCCUGACGCUGGAGGCACGAAGGCCAGGGGGAGCAAAACGGGG